GAUGAACGCUGGCGGCGUGCUUAACACAUGCAAGUCGAACGGAAAGGCUCCUGCUUGCAGGGGUACUCGAGUGGCGAACGGGUGAGUAACACGUGGGUGAUCUGCCCUGCACUUCGGGAUAAGCCUGGGAAACUGGGUCUAAUACCGGAUAGGACGAUGGUUUGGAUGCCAUUGUGGAAAGUUUUUUCGGUGUGGGAUGAGCUCGCGGCCUAUCAGCUUGUUGGUGGGGUAAUGGCCUACCAAGGCGUCGACGGGUAGCCGGCCUGAGAGGGUGUACGGCCACAUUGGGACUGAGAUACGGCCCAGACUCCUACGGGAGGCAGCAGUGGGGAAUAUUGCACAAUGGGCGCAAGCCUGAUGCAGCGACGCCGCGUGGGGGAUGACGGCCUACGGGUUGUAAACUCCUUUCGCUAGGGACGAAGCGCAAGUGACGGUACCUGGAGAAGAAGCACCGGCUAACUACGUG
rnacentral:rRNA from 1 species